CUUAUAUAUAUAUAUAUAUAUAUAUAUAAGCAUGCUGAUGCAUAUAUGCAAAUGUAGGUAGCAGCAAAAUUUAAUAUUUGAUCAAUUUGUAUAUAUUGAGAGAAUAUGGGAAACCAACCUCCUCGCGGUAAUCUUGUCCCUCGAGCUCCAUGGGCGGUCCGGGUCCUCGGGGUCGUCGUUGUCCUCCUGGCUUUGGUCCUCUUGGUUUGAUUCCAAGUCUUAUUCCUGAUGUUACAAUUGUGAUUAAUCCUCCUCCACCACCCCCCGGCAAACCAGAAGACUCCUCCGACUCCGAUUCAGAUGGUGAGUCACAUGGUGGAACUCGGAAGAAACUGACAUCAUAACUUGCUAUCUAGGAUUUCCUUUCCAGUUUCCCUUUCAAAAAUCACGAUUGCGAUUGCCACCCAGAGGCAAAGGAGAGCACACUAUUGUUGUUGUCAAUCGCUAUAUUCUGACCUCUCUAGUCAUUGCCGCAGCCACAGGUAGCGCCGCAGCGACCGUCCGUCAUUGUAAAGCAGCACCUGCACAGCUUUCGGGACUUUCGGGACUUUCGGGAAGAGGGAUAGUCUUGUGUAUAAGUAUAGUAUUUCUGAUAGAACCUGCCCAACCCAACUAAGAAGAAUUGAACAAAAUUGCCCAACUGCCAGUCUUGCGUGAAAAUGCACAGAAAAGCUGGUUUGAACGAAAUGCAUAAUCUGUUGAGUUGCUUAUGGAUGACGAUGAGAGUGAUGAGGAAAAAGUGAAGAACCAUAAGCAAAAAAAAGUCAUCUCUGCAAAUUUGAAAAAGCUGCAGCAGAUAAAUGGAUUUAGAUUACCAAUGAAGGUUUUGGGACUUGGAGCUAUCGAGGGCAAAGGUUAAUUGUAGAUCGAACUUCUGGAAAGCUGUGUCGGAUAUUAAGUUCAAGUUGACUCCAGCCCAAAUAAAGAAGUUCGAGGAUAGCUGUUUUGGCCACUUUUUGAAGGCCAACGAGAUACAAUUUAGUAGCCACAUCGUCAACAACAUGCUGUAUAGGCAGUGUGUUUGCGACGAUAAAGAUUCUAUGGUAUUCAAUUUUGGAGGGCGUGGUGCUAGAUUUACGCGGAGAGACUUCACCAUAAUUACAGGUCUACGGUUUGGUUACGAACCCAAUAGGCGGGUUAACAUCUCUACUCGUAUUAGUGACAUAUAUUUUGGUGGAAAGCGAAAGGUCACUAACUCGGAAAUAACCGAAGAUUUCAUGACCGUACAGUGUCAAGACGAUGAUGAAGCUAAAGAUGAUAGAUUGAAGUUGGCUUUAUUAUAUUUCCUAGAGACAAUUCUUCUAGGCAAAGAAAGCAUGGCCACUUGGAGAUAGUGGACGAUUUAAAGUACUUCAAUAACUAUCCAUGGGGUACUUUAUCAUAUACCACCACCAUUAGAUCGUUGAAGAGUGCUUUUGAGCAUAGAGAGUCCACGGCUUUAAACAAGUCAAAGAGUUAUAGUCUUUGUGGGUUUCCUUUGGCUUUCAUGGUUAAGCAUUUGGAAAGAAGUUGCGGGACAUGGCAUUCCCUCGAAUUCUUAAUUGGCAUAUUUCACAAGUGCCAAGAUUUGAAAAGGCCACUGAACUCUUCGAUCAUCGUGAUUAUCCCGUUCAUGGCUUAAUGAAUGUAACAAAUUUGAGCAUGCAUAUAUUGGGAAAAUUGUAUGGGAUGUACAUCAUGACACUACUCCAUACAAUGUUGCACCUGCUAUCUGAGACAAGCCACCACAGGGAAGUCAUGAUGAAAAAGAUGAAGGUCUUCCACUUACAAGUAGUGGAAGAAGUAAGAAACGAAAAGAGGCAUAUGUGGAAAUUAAGGGUAAAGGAGGGAGGCGGUGAAUGGGAGAUAAGCCGACAGACCAGCCUUCAUUAUCGACUGCAGGAGUUGUUGCUCAUGUUCAUGUUAAACCAUUGACUCCAUCCUAACCUCCAAUGACUCCAUCCCAUGAUGAGGUACCUUUGAGAGAGAGAUUAACUAUACUUGAAGGCGAAGUGGCUAAUGUACGGCAAGACGUUAAGGAUUUAAGAAUCGCCAUGCUUAGAGAGUUUGCAAGUUUGGAGACCAAGCUUGAUAAGUUAAUGAAGCACCAACGAGUGGGAGUUGGUGCUGACGGGUUAGGAGAUGGGAUGGAAGCGGACGUUGAAGGGGAUGAAAAUAAAGAAGAGUUUGGUCCCAAUGCGACCCCUGUUGAUAGACAGUCAUGUCCAUCCAUUGUAGAUGAUGCAGGACCAAGUGUUACGAUUAUCGAGAAAGUGUCUCCAUCAAAGUUUCCUACCGGAAGACGUGUAAGAAAGGUAGCAGCUGCUAAGCAAAGUAUAGAUAUUUGGAGGCGGGAUAGGAAGGUGGCAGCAACUAUUAUAACUCCUUACAGUGUUGGAGGCUUGCGGAAAAAACUACAGCGCAUUUUACCCGGUGCAUCUUCUACUUUGAAGUUCGACCCAUACAAACCAAUACCCAUGUGACUUGUAAAAAUUUUUGACCAAUUUAUGAAGUUCGGUUGGGCAGCAAAGGUUGAUAUGGACAUUUUAUCUGCAGGUAAAGACUUUUUCCAGUUGCUUAUAACCAGUGAGAAGUGGCUAAAUCACAAUCAUAUGGAAGUCCUGCCUUACUUAUUUCAUGUACGUGCCAAUCGAUUCCCUGAUGUUUUUGAUCCUAGUUUUGAGGUGAUAGAUGGAGGAUUUUAGGUAUACAUUGAGCAGUGUUAUGGAAAGUUCCUCACCAAUCCAUCCAAGUUCCACUUCUCAUAUGCAAUGCAAGAAUAUGUAUUGGGGAUUCGAAUGAAGGAGUCGAAGCCAUGGAAAUGCGUAAAUCAUUUGUUGAUUCUACUAAACAAGCGCAACAUACAUUGGAUGGUAGGGCACGUGGACUUGAAAGAGCGUCGUAUGACUGUAUAUGACUCAUAUAAGGCUGGCAACCGAAACAGGGAAGAAAUUUAUUUCUAGAAAUUAUGCAUUAUGUUACCUUAUUUACUAUGGUCUGCAUCUUUUUAUGAGCAGUGGUCGGAUCUUGUAGACUCCGUUGAUGAGUUUACAUGUGAAUUGGCACAAAAUUCCCUUUAGUAAAGUAACGGUGGUGACUGUGGCAUGUUUACACUCAAGACCAUUGAGUUUUUACAUGCUAGGUUACCAGUGACAUUCACACAAGAUGACAUGGAGUUCUUUAGGAAGAAGUAUGCAUAUGAGGCUUACAACAAAGAACUAAGCAUAUGAGCUAGGUGGUGAUGCAUUUUUCUUUCCUUUUGUCAUGUUUAUAGAUGCAUAUUCUUUAUUAUAUUAGAUUUUUAAUUGUAAAGAUAAUGGUGGCUUAUAAUGUUCAUUUAACAAAGAUAACGAUGUGUUAUUGAUAUAAAGAAUAACUAA